UCCAGGUCGCCAAGUGGGGAGGCGUUGGUCUGCAAAACCGACUAUUCGUGGGUUUCUCCUAACGGAGACGCUACGCGAACGACUCCCACCACUGCGACCCA
rnacentral:tRNA from 1 species